rnacentral:rRNA from 1 species
UAAUACAGAGGUCUCGAGCGUUGUUCGGAUUUACUGGGCGUAAAGGGAGCGUAGGCGGUUCAGUAUGUCGAAUGUGAAAUCCCACGACUCAACCGUGGAAUGGCAUUCGAAACUGCUGGGCUAGAGUACUGGAGAGGAGAGCGGAAUUCUUGGUGUAGCGGUGAAAUGCGUAGAUAUCAAGAGGAACACCGGUGGCGAAGGCGGCUCUCUGGACAGAUACUGACGCUGAGGCUCUAAAGUUAGGGGAGCAAACAGG